rnacentral:tRNA from 1 species
GAGGGUAUAGCUCAGUGGUUGAGUGUGUGCUUAGCAUGCACGAGGUCCUGGGUUCAAGCCCCAGCACCUCCA